AUUGAACGCUGGCGGCAGGCUUAACACAUGCAAGUCGAGCGAGCGGCGGACGGGUGAGUAAUGUCUGGGAAACUGCCUGAUGGAGGGGGAUAACUACUGGAAACGGUAGCUAAUACCGCAUACCAUCAGAUGUGCCCAGAUGGGAUUAGCUAGUAGGUGGGGUAAUGGCUCACCUACGCGACGAUCCCUAGCUGGUCUGAGAGGAUGACCAGCCACCCUGGAACUGAGAAACGGUCCGGACUCAUAGGGGAGGAAGCAGUGGGGAAGAUUGCACAAGGGGCGCAAGCCUAAUACGGCCAUGCGGCGUGUGUGAAGAAGGCCUGCGGGUUGUAAAGCACUUUCAGCGAGGAGGCGUUACUCGCAGAAGAAGCACCGGCUAACUACGUGCCAGCAGCCGCGGUAAUUC
rnacentral:rRNA from 1 species